UGAGGACGGGAGAAUGCAGAGCGCCCGGCCGGUUUGGUCUCCGAAUGGCUAGUACUUCCGUCAGUCAUUACAGUUUAUGCUUCUGUCAUUGCCACGUCACCCCCGCCCAUCGCUCUGCCCUUCAUCCUCUUCCGCCCUUACGGAUUGGUGGUUGCGAUCAGCUGCUCAAGCCUUUCUACCAAUGACUGAACGCGUUGAGGAUCAAGAUGACCUGGGUUGAUGAGACUGCUCCGUGGGUAAAGGUGCUUGCUGUCAAGUCUGACAGCCUGAGUUCAUCUGUGUUGGACGGAACCACAAGCUGCCUCCCUUAAGUUAUCAUCUGACUUCCACACAAGCUGGAGUAAACACCAACACCUACACAUACAUUUAUGUAUCACAAAAGGUGACCUGCUCAAAGAUAAUUAUUAGUUGAACAACAGUGAACAAAACCCCAGUGCAGUGUUCCUUCUAGGAUACCAUAAGCAAGGUAUAUAGCACAAUCACUUCUAAAUACUCUGAUAACAAGGACUUACCACAAACCAUUCUUAUAUAAUAUAAAAGAACAGGGGCCAGUGAGAUGACUCAGCAGGAAAAGUACCUACUCACCCAGGCCAAUCUUGUUUGAGACCCAAAACUCACAUGAUGGAAGGCAAGAACCCAGCCCUACAAGCUGUCCUCUGACCUUCAUGCACAAUGCCACCCCCAUACAUAAAAAUGUAAUUAAAAAAAAAAAAACAAUGCUGAUUUACUGAUCAUUCUUCUACAUCUUGGAUACAUAUAUUUGAUUGUCCUUUAAAUUGAAACUAAAUAAAGAAAUAAACACUAAAACUUACUUUCUCAA